UACACGCCUGAGGAGGAUGUGGAGAAGAAAGGAAAUUCAUCAAAAGGAAGAGGAGGAAAAGAGAAAAAAAAAAAAAAAGAAAUGGAGAAAAAAAAAAAAGGAAGAGAAAGGAAAUGAGAGGCGGAAAAAAAAAACUGGGGGAAAAAAAGACAACUUUUUGAGACUGGAAUUAAAACCCGAGCCCGAAGCCCGGCCGGCCGCAGCUCCGGGGAUGCCUUUUGACGCCAGGGAGGCGCCGGGGGUUCACCCGACGUGAUGCUCCGCGCGUUUUCUGGGUGGAGGAUCAUGGGUCCCCGACCUCCAUGAAAGCUCGCAGGGAAUUUCCCGGUGGGCUCACUCUAACGCCAACCCGGGAGUGGGGGCUGUAUGGAAAAAAUCCAAAAGCCACGAGCCCCCGGCCGUGUGGGAGCUGCCAGCAGGACCUGUCUUGCAGGACCCUCAGCAGAAGCCCCUCACCAUGGCUCAUCCCGUGUGCACCCUCCUCCUCCUCCUCCUCCUGCCAGCAGACCCUGGCCCGGAGCACGGCGUAGAUCCCGAUUUUCACCAGCAUCCACCCAGGCUGCUCGGGGCCAGCACCGGCCUUCGCCGUUGGGGACACCAGCACCGGUUUGGGGAUGGAUGGGAUGGAGAGGACACCGGGACAUCCCCAUCCCGUCGCCGCUCAUCACCCCGUGGGCCGCACGCCGCAGCCUGGCCGGAAAAAAAAAAAAACAACAGCAAAAAACCAACCAACAAACCACCCUUUUCACCCCCAAUUGCUGGUUGCGGAGCCUCAUGACUCCACGGCAGCAUUCCUGGGACGUUCCCGACGCGGGGUGGUAUGUGCAGAAUUCCGAAGAGCGGCACGUGGCUCCACGUCUCUCAUCCGCUCCCCCAGCUGGACUCAAGUGAUUUGGGAGAAACUCCAGGACGGAGCAGUGAGAUUUAUUAUUGCUACCAGUAACGAUGAUCUCCGGGUAGCACCCGCAGGCCCAGGUAGGUGUGUGGGCUUGGUGAUGAAGGAAGAGGUGUCCUCCUGUCUCUCCCUUCCAAAAUUUACUGGCUUUGUUGGUAAAAAAGAGAGCAAUUUUGGGGAAAAGUCUCAUUGACCAGCCAAGGUUGAGCGAGUCAAACCCAAACCUGGCUUGUCCCGGUGCUCCCCAGCCAUGGAAAUGGGCAGAUCUUCACAAAACCGGCUCCCCGGAGGUUUUCGCUAGAAGGGUGAUGGGCUUCGAGAGUCUAAACUCAGCCUGGGAGAGGGUUUGGGUCCUGUGGGCUUCGCUCCCUCGGCAGGGAUGGCUUUGCCUGAGGACUCGGGUCCCGGGAGCAGCUUCGGUGCCAGGGAUGCGCUCGGGAGCGUUCAGCUCCCCUUGAGACCGCAUGGAGAAGGGCAAGACUUCAUAAAAAUUAACUUCCUCGCCUCUCCCUGCCCGAAUCCUUUGGGCCGUGUUUUUCAAGGUUUCAACCUGUAAAAAUACGGUUAUUGCUUUUUUUUUUUUUUUUUUAAAUGUGAUUUCUCCUCCGUGUUUAUCACCCGCCUCUGGAAUCUCGGGCUUUAGCGCGGUGCUUUAUGAGACUGGCAGUUGUUGGCCCUGGAGCAAAGCACGUCCAUCACCGGGUUGGCCCCACGGCCACCUGGAGAGACGAGGGAAAUCGGAGAGUCCUCAAUAUUGAACGUCUUUACACCAGUUCUGGGAAGAUCCCCUGCCUACCUGCCACUCUUUCUUUUCCUCAAAAUACCCGAAUGUAUUUUUUUUUUUAUUUAUUUAAUUUUUUCUACCUAUGGACGUCAGCUAGAUGUGGCCACGGACCGAAAGCUGGCAGCUCGUUUUUCUCUUGGCUCGGGCAUCCCGAGGUUGCUCAGCCUGCGGAGGCCGCGUUUCAGUAAACGCCGCUGCCAGCCCCCUUCCCUUUCCCGGGAUUAAGACAAGGCAAACGCCUUCCCUUUGGGUUUAAUUCCAAAUACCUGAUUUUUGACGGCGUUUGCCGGCACGGUGCGCGCACAGUGCACACGCGCUUGCAACAAUGGCCAGGUAGCUUGCACGGCUAAAUCACUCUGGAUAUUUUUUUUUUUUUUUUAUUUUUUUUACAUUAUAACCUCCUUUUAAAGCAGGUUUAAAUGCUUCCCCGCGGGCUCGCGCGAGGGCCGUUAAGGGCUUCAUUUGAAUAAAUAAGUGCAUAGGUACAGGAGGAACAUCACCAUAACCCCCCGGAAACCCCAGCGACGGCAUCAGAGGACGGGCGAGCGGGAGAAGGGGCCCGACGUUAUGUAUUCCAUAAAGUAGAGUAAUUAAGUAGUACUAGUUUUGAUGACUUCAAACGGAGUGACUCCAGGAAAUAAGCCCCUUCUUUAUAAUUAGCGGGAUUUCCUCCGCAUCAAACGGAGAGAUUGAUUCUUUAAUCUGCUCACAUGCUUUUGAUUUGGUCUUUCAGCUGCUUGUACCAACUGCUUCCACUCCCGGCUCUUGCCGAUAAAACCUUGCAAAGGAGAUUUUAGGGAGGCAUGACCCGAGUUGAGGUCCGGGAUUUUCUUGGUGUGUGGCUGUUUUUGCCAGAGGUGAUGAUCCUGAUGAUAGCAAUAAUAAAAAAAUAACAUAGACCCCGAUUUUUAACAUCCGCGUACUUUUAGGUCAAAUAAUGGGGGUUUGGGGUUUCUUUUUGUUGUUGUUUUCUCUUCCCGGCGCGUUUAUUAGCUCUUUAAGCUCAUUUUGGCUGCCUGUCCACUGUCCCAAGCGGGGCUUACUGCAAAAUCUUCCUCUUUUAAGAGAUCCCAGACCUAACGCCGGGGUCUGGCCGGGCUUUCAGCAUUUCAAGGCCCCGGUUGAAGUAAGGACUCAAUUUCUUAAGGAUUCGGGACGCGCAGAGGGAAGAGGCCCCUUUUCUUGACUAUUUUAAUUGCUUGGUCCUGAUUUAGGACUAAUCCCAGGAACUUUGGAAGCUCCGUCGGAAAUAAAAUCCCCCCGAAAUGUUGCCGCUUUCCAAAUGAGGAGUUCGGGGGCGCGGGGGGCGGGGGGGGAAGCAAGAACUUGCCCCCCCUGGAUGCGUGAGAAGCCAAUUGUGAGCAACCAGCUCCGUCCUGGGCAUCUCCGUGGGGUUGGUGGCACCGUACCAGUCGUACGGGAAACGCAGAUCUGGGGGCUGUGCUGCUCCCAGGCAUGAACUGGACCUUCCCCACGCUGACCCCCCUCCAGAACAGCUGGGCUCUGGCGUCAUCAAAUCACAGAAUCUUUUAGGUUGGGAAAGAUCUUUGAGAUCAUCGCGUCCAACCGUCAACCCAGCGCAGCCAACUCCGCCACCAAACUUCUUUCUGGCAUAAAUGCCUGAAGAUCAAGACAGAAGCUUCAUGCAACCUUAAUUUAAUCUGGUCCUGCAGGAGCGGGGAAGGUCUGAUGGAUGACCCAACCUCGCGCCCGCCCGUGUUCAGCAAGGCUUGAGGCGGAGGGGAGCGGAGCGCCGGAGCGUGCCAAGCGGGAGGGAAAACCGGCGCCCGGGAUCAUCUGAACAGCAGGAAAAAAUAAAAAAAAAAAAAAAAAACCAAAACAAAAAAACCCCACGAAAAUAGAAAAA